rnacentral:rRNA from 1 species
GCCUACGGGUGGCUGCAGCCGCGGUAAUACGUAGGGUGCGAGCGUUAAUCGGAAUUACUGGGCGUAAAGCGUGCGCAGGCGGUUUUGUAAGACAGAUGUGAAAUCCCCGGGCUUAACCUGGGAACUGCGUUUGUGACUGCAAGGCUAGAGUACGGCAGAGGGGGGUGGAAUUCCGGGUGUAGCAGUGAAAUGCGUAGAGAUCAGGAGGAACACCGAUGGCGAAGGCAGCCCCCUGGGCCUGUACUGACGCUCAUGCACGAAAGCGUGGGGAGCAAACAGGAUUAGAUACCCUAGUAGUCA